rnacentral:rRNA from 1 species
ACUAAACGCUGGCGGCGUGCCUAACACAUGCAAGUCGUACGAGAAAGUCCCGUUCGCGGGAUGAGUAAAGUGGCGCACGGGUGAGUAAUGCGUGGAUAAUCUGCCCUUUAGUUGGGAAUAACGUGCCGAAAGGUGCGCUAAUACCCGAUAAUACUGCACAACUACUGUUGUGUAGUCAAAGAAGGCCUCUGUUUACAAGCUUUUGCUGAAGGAUGAGUCCGCGUACCAUUAGCUGGUUGGUGGGGUAAUGGCCUACCAAGGCUACGAUGGUUAGCUGGUCUGAGAGGAUGAUCAGCCACACUGGAACUGAGACACGGUCCAGACUCCUACGGGAGGCAGCAGUGAGGAAUAUUGCGCAAUGGGGGCAACCCUGACGCAGCAACGCCGCGUGAGUGAGGAAGGUUUUCGGACCGUAAAGCUCUGUCGAGCGGGAAGAAAUGCAUGGUGGCUAAUAUCCAUCAUGCUUGACGGUACCGCUAAAGGAAGCACC